GCUUUCUUUCGUGGUCCUUUUUGAGUGAUCCUCAGCUUGACACAGGCCAACUGACCUCAACACCUAAAUAUUUGAAGUUUCUAUUGUGAGCUCCAAUAGAUGUGGCAGACAUGGCAGAAACACACCAGACAGAAUAAUACAGUGGAAGUAAAACCUGGAGCUAGUCAACUGGUUCAGGUGCAGCAGAGAAUUUCCUUCCCUGAAGAUCUUCAUUGAUCCCUGCGUCAGAGAGCCGACUCCCACCAAACACUGCACUGCACAACAAAUCACUCUGCUAACUGAAGAAAGAGAAAUAUGAAGCUCUCCAUUUUCUUGCUGGUGGUGCUCUCUGUCACUGUGCUCUGUGUGGAUUACGAACAUGUUAAGAAGGUCAAAAAUCAGCGUAUCAUCGAACCAGACACAAAAAUGUCGUCUGUUUCUUCUAGCAGAUCAGCACAAGAAAGUGUUGACGAACGUGUUAACAACUUCGCAAACCAGCAUAUCAUCGACACAGAAGAGUCAUGUGAUAAACUAAUAGAAGACCGGAAGAUCAAAGAUGUUAAUGGUAAAGAUAAAAAAAUAAGAAACACCUUCAUCGUUAGCACUUUUAACAAGGUCAAAGAUAUUUGUAAAGAAGAACAACGUGUUUAUAAAAAUGACAAUCUUUAUAGAAGCUCUGAAGAGAUGGAGCUUUUGCACUGCACACUGCAAUAUGACAAAAGAAAAUACGAAGGCGUAAAGAUAAAGAAGCAUAUUGAAAUUGCAUGUGUGACAAUCGGCCGUGGUCUUCAACCUGUACACUUGCAAUGCUGCUUUUAGUUUGAGAGCUGCUCUGUAACUUUGUAAAGUUUGCAUAAAUAAUAAUGGGAAUAUUAUUAUUAAGGAAAUAUGGAAGAAUUGUUUGUAAGUGAAUGUGGAAUAAUACCACAAUCACAAGAGUUAUUGAAAGAACUUUUGACUUUCUUGUCUCACUUGCAUAAGUAAACAUUACAUCACAUCCAUCCUGUUCUCUCAGAUCACAGACAUUGCUUGUCUUUCAGCAUUCAAUAAAUAAUCUACAAAAAAAACAAGUUGCUGCUCCAGAGAAUUUUUUUAUACUUAAAACAAAGCUCUUGUAAAACCACAAACACUCGCUGGUUUUAAAAUCAUUGAUGAAGAGAGGAGCUACAGAUUUUGUCUUAGUGCUGAGGUCUGAGUUAGUGCUGGAGUUCAUCUGGACUGCAUUGGAUUUCUAUCUGCUCCAUGUGUGGGAAUAAGCAGAGACAACUAACAAAGAACUUUCAGCAGUAGGGCUGGGCGAUAUAUCGAGCUUUUAAAUAUAUCGAUAUAUUUUUAUACGAGAUAUGAGAUGUGACAAUAUCGUUUACAUCAAUAUUGUCUAUGUUACAUUAUAAUUAUACUUGUGGAGCCCCAAUUUUGUCUCUCUUUCGUCCACUUUUGUCUCUACGCAACGUUACUCGCAAGGUUACUCAGAGAGAACCCCAGUGUCUGGGGUUCUUUGUGAACCCCAUUCUGUGAAAUGAAGAAAGCAAGAAGAAUGAGUUAAGUAAAGUUUGACUUAUCUGACUGUUUUGUUUCGCAUAAUGCGCCUUAUAAUCCGGUCUUAUGGUCUGGAAUAUGGUCCUCGUAUUCUUAAGAACAGAUGAUCUGUUUAACUGUACCUUACUUUCAGUAAGUCACUCGGUGUUGCAUGUAAAUUAAAUUCACAUUGAUGGCCCAUCAUCCACGUGCCCUAAUCACUU